UUACUGUUUGAUGUCCUCAACAGAAUCUAAAUCCAGUUCUUAGGACGCUCACCUUAAGGCCGUCCAACUGGUGUGACUACUGAUCGUUUCUCGGCUUCAGGUUUCUUCUGUUGGAUUUUCCCAUCCAUAGUCCAGCACCACAUGUGCUCAUGCUUUGUUAAAGUCCUCACCUCGCUGUCGUCAUGGAGAAGUGAACUCACUGAAAUCAGCUGCAAGAAAAU